rnacentral:lncRNA from 1 species
CUCCGAGGAACCUUAGUUCUCAACAUCUAGCCCUUCAGCGAUGUAGUUCUCCGUUAGAGAUCUGAGCAUGGGCCGAGUGCUAUUUCUUUACUGGUUAAUUUUCCAGUGUCUUAUAUAUUCAGAGGAAGCCGCCUUGACUGCCGUUGAACGAUCAUUAGGUGCACCAGAGGUGAAUGUGACGAUAAUAAAUAAGCUCUACAUUCGAGUCACUUGGAAGCGAGAGGGUCCAUGGAGCAACGAGAGGGAGUUCAUUGUCAAUUUCGAAGCAGCUCGGUGCAAGGCCUACCUCUAAACCUUGCAAUGACCAAAGAAUACCAUGCAACAGCGACAUUUGCAGUGUCGACAGUAACGAACGCUGUCCAAGUUUCGGUGUCUGCCGUGAUGUGGGAGUUUUUAUUACUGCCAAUGGCUACAGUACUCGACGAAAAGUACGGACAGAUGCUUACACGCCUGCCUCUGUCCGCGUAGACUCGAACGGUGGAACGCUGGAAGUAUCCUGCAAA